rnacentral:rRNA from 1 species
CUCCUCUUGAAAUAUAAGAGGUACCGUCUGCUCAAUGCAAUUUGUAAAUAGCCGCAGUAUUCUGACUGUGCUAAGGUAGCAUAAUCAUUAGUCUUUUAAUUGGAGGCUGGUAUGAAUGACGAGACGAGAAAAUAGCUGUCUCUACUAUAAAUUUUGAAUUUUAUUUUUAAGUGAAAAAGCUUAAAUAAUUUUGAAGGACGAUCAGACCCUUUGGAGCUUUAUUUAUUUUAAAGUUUAAAUUUGUUUUAGAUUAUUGAAUGGAAAAUAAAUUUUGUUGGGGCGACAGGGAGUGAAAAAUAACACUCUUUUUUUAAAACAAUUCUAAUUGAAAAAUUGAUCCUUUAAGAGAGAUUAAAAGACUAAGUUACCCUAGGGAUAACAGCGUAAUCUUUUUGGAGAGUUCAAAUCGAUAAAAAGGUUUGCGACCUCGAUGUUGGAUUAAGAAAUUAGCAAGGUGCAGAAGUUUUGCUGGAGAGUCUGUUCGACUCU